GUUGCUAAGGGCUUGGUCAUUUUUAAAAAUCCCCCAUUUCCUUACCAAAUCUCACGGCAUUUCGUCAAUUAAUCGGAAGAGCAUCAUCAAUGGUGAAACCGCUGGGAUCCACAGGCGAGUUCUUUAGGAGGCGGGACGAGUGGCGGAAGCACCCGAUGAUGACGAACCAGUGGCGCCAUGCCGCCCCCGGCCUUGGUAUCGCUCUCGUCGCUUUUGGAAUUUACGUUGUCGGUGAAGCCGCCUACGAAAAAAUCUAUGCCCCAAAAUCUCACUCUCACUCCACUUCUUCUCCUGCUCCUGCUGGUUCUUCUACAUCUGCUGUUCAUUAGAAUUUCCCCUCUAUCUACAAGAUGAGUGCCUAGUGCCAAGGUCAGGCAUGCUCACAUUUCUCACUCCUCUCUGUUUCUCUCAUCGGUGUUAAAUAAAGUACUCAUAAGACGUGUGUUUUGCCUUCAAUCAGCAGACCUCUGAAUCUGUAACUAACCUGAGAAUAGUUGUUUAAUCAAUGGUCUGUAUCUUUUACGGAGUUUUUUUUUGUUAAAGGACAUGAUGUUUUUCGAGUUGUAGCUAUAUCUGUUUGUUUGAACAACUUUGUGAACCAAAGCUUUAGUACCGUAUGUCUAACGAACCAGGCCACGUGCCUUGAAUUGAGGCUAUUUACUUUCUUAUAAUAUGCAAUUUGCCAUUACCAAUCAA